UACGGAGGGUGCAAGCAUUAAUCGGAUUUAUUGGGCGUAAAGGCGCGUAGGCGGCCGUACAAGUCAGAUGUGAAAUUCCAGGGCUCAACCCUGGAGCUGCAUUUGAAACUGUAUGGCUAGAGGGUAGAAGGAGAAAACGGAAUUCCACAAGUAGCGGUGAAAUGCGUAGAUAUCUGGAGGAACACCGGUGGCGAAGGCGGCAUCCUGGACCGGUAUUGACGCUGAGGUACGAAAGCGUGGGGAGCAAACAGGG
rnacentral:rRNA from 1 species